UACGUAGGGGGCAAGCGUUGUCCGGAAUCAUUGGGCGUAAAGAGCGUGUAGGCGGCUCGAUAAGUCUGCUGUGAAAGUCCAGGGCUCAACCCUGGAAGGCCGGUGGAAACUGUCGGGCUAGAGUACGGAAGAGGCAAGUGGAAUUCCUGGUGUAGCGGUGGAAUGCGCAGAUAUCAGGAGGAACACCUAUAGCGAAGGCAGCUUGCUGGGACGUUACUGACACUGAGGCGCGAAAGCGUGGGGAGCGAACAGG
rnacentral:rRNA from 1 species